GAUGAACGCUGGCGGCGUGCCUAAUACAUGCCAGUCGAGCGAACAGAUGAGGAGCUUGCUCCUCUGACGUUAGCGGCGGACGGGUGAGUAACACGUGGAUAACCUACCUAUAAGACUGGGAUAACUUCGGGAAACCGGAGCUAAUACCGGAUAAUAUAUUGAACCGCAUGGUUCAAUAGUGAAAGACGGUUUUGCUGUCACUUAUAGAUGGAUCCGCGCCGCAUUAGCUAGUUGGUAAGGUAACGGCUUACCAAGGCGACGAUGCGUAGCCGACCUGAGAGGGUGAUCGGCCACACUGGAACUGAGACACGGUCCAGACUCCUACGGGAGGCAGCAGUAGGGAAUCUUCCGCAAUGGGCGAAAGCUUGACGGAGCGACGCCGCGUGAGUGAUGAAGGUCUUCGGAUCGUAAAACUCUGUUAUUAGGGAAGAACAAAUGUGUAAGUAACUAUGCACGUCUUGACGGUACCUAAUCAGAAAGCCACGGCUAACUACGUG
rnacentral:rRNA from 1 species